GAUGAACGCUGGCGGCGUGCCUAAUACAUGCAAGUCGAGCGAACGGACGAGAAGCUUGCUUCUCUGAUGUUAGCGGCGGACGGGUGAGUAACACGUGGAUAACCUACCUAUAAGACUGGGAUAACUUCGGGAAACCGGAGCUAAUACCGGAUAAUAUUUUGAACCGCAUGGUUCAAAAGUGAAAGACGGUCUUGCUGUCACUUAUAGAUGGAUCCGCGCUGCAUUAGCUAGUUGGUAAGGUAACGGCUUACCAAGGCAACGAUGCAUAGCCGACCUGAGAGGGGGAUCGGCCACACUGGAACGGAGACACGGUCCAGACUCCUACGGGAGGCAGCAGUAGGGAAUCUUCCGCAAUGGGCGAAAGCCUGACGGAGCAACGCCGCGUGAGUGAUGAAGGUCUUCGGAUCGUAAAACUCUGUUAUUAGGGAAGAACAUAUGUGUAAGUAACUGUGCACAUCUUGACGGUACCUAAUCAGAAAGCCACGGCUAACUAUGUG
rnacentral:rRNA from 1 species